rnacentral:lncRNA from 1 species
AGCCUCUAAAGAAAGUCCACUCGAAGCUCCGAUCUGAUCGAUCUUCUCGAGAGUGCUAGCUCACGCGAUGACCUUCUUCUUGGUAGAUCUGGAUCCCUUCUUCAAAUCUCUAAAAUCUUUCUAUAAGUUGAAGAUGAAAUUUUGGAGAAAAAAAUGAGGUAGAAGAAAGAUGGAGAAGAAACUAUUUUUUUUUUAUUUUUCUCUCUUCCCAAACCCUGGGGUAGGAACCCUAGAAGACUAGGUUUUGAGCACACCCC